UACAGAGGGUGCGAGCGUUGUCCGGAAUUACUGGGCGUAAAGGGCGCGUAGGCGGCGUUGCAAGUCGGUGGUGAAAGCUCGUCGCUUAACGACGAGUCGGCCAUCGAAACUGCAGGGCUCGAGCACUGUAGGGGCUAAUGGAAUUCCGGGUGUAGCGGUGGAAUGCGUAGAGAUCCGGAAGAACACCAGUGGCGAAGGCGGUUAGCUGGGCAGUUGCUGACACUGAUGCGCGACAGCGUGGGGAGCAACCAGG
rnacentral:rRNA from 1 species